UACGUAGGGGGCAAGCGUUGUCCGGAAUCAUUGGGCGUAAAGAGCGUGUAGGCGGCCCGAUAAGUCUGCUGUGAAAGUCCAGGGCUCAACCCUGGGAUGCCGGUGGAUACUGUCGAGCUCGAGUCCGGAAGAGGCGAGCGGAAUUCCUGGUGUAGCGGUGAAAUGCGCAGAUAUCAGGAGGAACACCAAUGGCGAAGGCAGCUCGCUGGGACGGUACUGACGCUGAGACGCGAAAGCGUGGGGAGCAAACAGG
rnacentral:rRNA from 1 species